rnacentral:rRNA from 1 species
UACGUAGGGUGCAAGCGUUAAUCGGAAUUACUGGGCGUAAAGCGUGCGCAGGCGGCUUUGCAAGACAGAUGUGAAAUCCCCGGGCUUAACCUGGGAACUGCAUUUGUGACUGCAUGGCUGGAGUGCGGCAGAGGGGGAUGGAAUUCCGCGUGUAGCAGUGAAAUGCGUAGAGAUCAGGAAGAACACCGGUGGCGAAAGCGUUCUGCUAGACCUGUACUGACACUGAGGCGCGACAGCGUGGGGAGCAAACAGG